UGGCAAGGUUAACCGUAUAGGGGAGCCGUAGCGAAAGCGAGUCUUAACUGGGCGCUCAGUCUCUGGAUAUAGACCCGAAACCGGGUGAUCUAGCCAUGGGCAGGUUGAAGGUUGAGUAACAUCAACUGGAGGACCGAACCGACUAAUGUUGAAAAAUUAGCGGAUGACUUGUGGCUAGGGGUGAAAGGCCAAUCAAACUCGGAGAUAGCUGGUUCUCCCCGAAAGCUAUUUAGGUAGCGCCUCGGACGAAUACUACUGGGGGUAGAGCACUGUUAAGGCUAGGGGGUCAUCCCGACUUACCAACCCUUUGCAAACUCCGAAUACCAGUAAGUACUAUCCGGGAGACACACGGCGGGUGCUAACGUCCGUCGUGGAGAGGGAAACAACCCAGACCGCCAGCUAAGGUCCCAAAGUAUUGCUAAGUGGGAAACGAUGUGGGAAGGCUCAGACAGCUAGGAUGUUGGCUUAGAAGCAGCCAUCAUUUAAAGAAAGCGUAAUAGCUCACUAGUCGAGUCGGCCUGCGCGGAAGAUGUAACGGGGCUAAGCAAUACACCGAAGCUGCGGCAAUGUCUUUUAGACAUUGGGUAGGGGAGCGUUCUGUAAGCCGUUGAAGGUGAAUCGUAAGGUUUGCUGGAGGUAUCAGAAGUGCGAAUGCUGACAUGAGUAACGACAAAGGGGGUGAAAAACCUCCUCGCCGGAAGACCAAGGGUUCCUGUCCAACGUUAAUCGGGGCAGGGUGAGUCGACCCCUAAGGUGAGGCCGAAAGGCGUAAUCGAUGGGAAACGGGUUAAUAUUCCCGUACUUCUGACUAUUGCGAUGGGGGGACGGAGAAGGCUAGGUGGGCCAGGCGACGGUUGUCCUGGUUCAAGUGCGUAGGCUUGAGAGUUAGGUAAAUCCGGCUCUCUCUAAGGCUGAGACACGACGUCGAGCUACUACGGUAGUGAAGUCAUUGAUGCCAUGCUUCCAGGAAAAGCCUCUAAGCUUCAGAUAGUCAGGAAUCGUACCCCAAACCGACACAGGUGGUCGGGUAGAGAAUACCAAGGCGCUUGAGAGAACUCGGGUGAAGGAACUAGGCAAAAUGGUACCGUAACUUCGGGAGAAGGUACGCUCUUGAUGGUGAAGUCCCUCGCGGAUGGAGCUGACGAGAGUCGCAGAUACCAGGUGGCUGCAACUGUUUAUUAAAAACACAGCACUGUGCAAAAUCGCAAGAUGACGUAUACGGUGUGACGCCUGCCCGGUGCCGGAAGGUUAAUUGAUGGGGUUAGCGCAAGCGAAGCUCUUGAUCGAAGCCCCGGUAAACGGCGGCCGUAACUAUAACGGUCCUAAGGUAGCGAAAUUCCUUGUCGGGUAAGUUCCGACCUGCACGAAUGGCGUAAUGAUGGCCACGCUGUCUCCACCCGAGACUCAGUGAAAUUGAAAUCGCUGUGAAGAUGCAGUGUACCCGCGGCUAGACGGAAAGACCCCGUGAACCUUUACUACAGCUUGGCACUGAACAUUGAACCUACAUGUGUAGGAUAGGUGGGAGGCUAUGAAGACGUGACGCCAGUUGCGUUGGAGCCGUCCUUGAAAUACCACCCUUGUAUGUUUGAUGUUCUAACUUAGACCCAUUAUC
rnacentral:rRNA from 1 species